GAGCGUAUAGCUCAGUGACAGAGUACAUGCUUAGCAUCCAUGAGGUCCUGGGUUCAAUCCCCAGUACCACCA
rfam:Camelus ferus unplaced genomic scaffold scaffold1703, whole genome shotgun sequence.